GCUGGCACUGUGAUGAUGACUCUUUGCCGUUUACCCAGCUGAUUUUUUUUUUGAUGAGUAACACUGUAUCUGAUGUGCCAGC
rnacentral:snoRNA from 1 species